GACGAACGCUGGCGGCGUGCCUAAUACAUGCAAGUCGAGCGAAGCGGCGGUUGGGUGAGUAACGCGUGGGUAACCUGCCCUUAAGUCUGGGAUACCAUUUGGAAACAGAUGCUAAUACCGGAUACUAAAGGAUGGACCUGCGAUGCAUUAGCUAGUUGGUAAGGUACAGGCUUACAAAGGCGAUGAUGCAUAGCCGGGUUGAGAGGCUGAUCGGCCACAUUGGGACUGAGACACGGCCCAAACUCCUACGGGAGGCAGCAGUAGGGAAUGUUGCACAAUGUACGAAAGUCUGAUGGAGCAACGCCGCGUGAGUGAAGAAGGUGUUCGGAUCGUAAAGCUCUGUUGUCUGUGAAGCGGUAGUCGACCAGGAAGUCACGGCUAACUACGUGCCAGCCGCCGCGGUAAUUC
rnacentral:rRNA from 1 species